GUGACCAAGGCGCUCCAGUUAGUGUCCUACUGUCCUUGAGCAUAAUGGGAUGGUUAUCUGUAUUAAUUGGCUGAUAUCUCCUUCGUCUGAGCUCUACAUAUGAUGCAAAUGAUGGAUCCACAACUUUAGGACCCAAGACCUAACUAUGACUCCCACUGCAUCUAUCGACACCGGUCAAACCAUCUCUCUUCAUCUUCUCCUCUUUAGCCUUUCGACAAAACACAACCCACGAGUUAACUUCCAUGGCCACGCAGACACCAACCAGCGUCGACAGACAUAGACAGUAACCGAGCUUUGCGUACGACCUUCCUUCCCUUAAAACCUCAAACCCUUGGAACACAUUCACCACGCCCAUCACCACACACGCGUACCCGACAAAAUGAUGGUAAGACUUCCAGUACCUCCGGAACUUAUUGGUCGUCUUUGGUCUGAACAGCAAAGCCAGUGUUUGCAGCGCCGCUGCUGUGAAAGUAGCUAUCCCGAGGCUCCGAUGUAACCCAUAGGUCACUCCAGGGGAAUUAUGGCCGAGCACGAUUCCAAUGGAGAAGCCAAUGGUUCCUAGGAGGAAACCGGUUAGCUGUAUUGCUGCGUGGAUGUAGA
rnacentral:lncRNA from 1 species